CGGGGCGUAGCGCAGUCCGGUUAGCGCACCUGGUUUGGGACCAGGGGGUCGCAGGUUCGAAUCCUGCCGCCCCGACCA
rnacentral:tRNA from 1 species